rnacentral:rRNA from 1 species
ACUCCUACGGGAGGCAGCAGUGGGGAAUAUUGCACAAUGGGCGCAAGCCUGAUGCAGCCAUGCCGCGUGUAUGAAGAAGGCCUUCGGGUUGUAAAGUACUUUCAGCAGUGAGGAAGGUGGGUAUGUUAAUAGCAUACUCAUUUGACGUUAGCUGCAGAAGAAGCACCGGCUAACUCCGUGCCAGCAGCCGCGGUAAUACGGAGGGGUGCGAGCGUUAAUCGGAAUUACUGGGCGUAAAGCGCAUGCAGGUGGUUUGUUAAGUUCAGAUAGUGAAAGCCCGGGGCGUCAACCGUCGGAAUUUGCAUUUGAAACUGGCAAACUAGAGUACUGUAGAGGGGGUAGAAGUUUCAGGUGUAGCGGUGAAAUGCGUAGAGAUCUGAAGGAAUACCGGUGGCGAAGGCGGCCCCCUGGACAGAUACUGACACUCACGAUGCGAAAGCGUGGGGAGGCAAACGAGGAUUAGAUACCCUGGUAGGUCAGUC